GAGAGAGAGAGAGAGAGAGGAUAAAGAGAGAGAGAGGAGAGAGAGAGAGAGAGAGAGAGAGAGAGAGAGAGAGAGAGAGAGAGAGAGAGGAUAAGUUCACUGUCUCACAAGUUUAACACAACUCCAAUCAAUCAGUCACCCAAAUGUAAUACUGAUGUGUGUAACUGCUGCUCAGUGAAGCCGGAGCAACAACUCCCCCUCAGCACGUCAUUUGUGUUUGUCAGGGCUUACAUACUGUAUAUGUGGAAGAAUUAAGGCCAUACAUGUGAAUAUAUUUCUUAAGAGGGCAUGUAUAUGAAUUUAUUCGUUAGAUGAAUGAACUGGUUUGGUUUGGCGCCUGGGGCAUACAGGUUAAUAUAUGUGUUAGGUGAGUGGGGUAUGAGUGGGACUGCAUACAGGUUAAUAUAUGUGUUAGGUGAGUGGGGUAUGAGUGGGACUGCAUACAGGUUAAUAUAUGUGUUAGGUGGUGAGUGGGGUAUGAGUGGGACUGCAUACAGGUUAAUAUAUGUGUUAGGUGGUGAGUGGGGUAUGAGUGGGACUGCAUACAGGUUAAUAUAUGUGUUAGGUGAGUGGGGUAUGAGUGGGACUGCAUACAGGUUAAUAUAUGUGUUAGGUGGUGAGUGGGGUAUGAGUGGGACUGCAUACAGGUUAAUAUAUGUGUUAGGUGAGUGGGGUAUGAGUGGGACUGCAUACAGGUUAAUAUAUGUGUUAGGUGGUGAGUGGGGUAUGAGUGGGACUGCAUACAGGUUAAUAUAUGUGUUAGGUGGUGAGUGGGGUAUGAGUGGGACUGCAUACAGGUUAAUAUAUGUGUUAGGUGGUGAGUGGGGUAUGAGUGGGACUGCAUACAGGUUAAUAUAUUCCGUAGAUGAUUUGCCCUCAGGAUGUCUGUUUGUCUGACUUCCCUGACUUUGACAUCAUGUUGUUGUACAGAUUUUAACUCUUCAAAUGACAUUCAGGUAGGCUGGCGAUCUGAAGCCUUGCUCUAGUGCUGCAUACCUGUGAACUCUGACCCCUGAUGAACACAGAUUAACUUCCUCUGUUCCCCUGCUGUUGUUAUUGUUGUUUUCCUCCUCCAUUCCAGAUCUGCCUUCUUCGUGUGUGUGUUGAUGAUGAUGCAGAAACUCUGAUGUAGAUUCAGUCUGACCUUUAAUGAUUACUUUUGACAGUUGUCGCUCAUAAGUUUGUUUUAUACGUUAGCGUUUUCGUGUCGGCGAGUCAGAGCUCCUUCAUGUGCCAAUCCCCGUCUUCACGGAAGAGCAGGAUUCUUACCUGUGAUGUAAUGGCAUAGGCUAUAUAUAAAUGUUGUAAAUAACAGUUUAUGAAGUAUUACUUGAUUCUAUGUAAUUAUUACGAUGAGGACUAUUUUAAUAAUGUCAUGUUAUUUGCUGUGGUUGUAGUUGAAUCAUCUUAUUCUCUCAUUUCCAUUGUGUCAUUGAAGAACCCAUAAGUUGUAGGGCUACAGAUCAAACUGAAGGGGAGAAAAACCAAAAUGAUACGUCAACAUUAAAGUGGAUUCUAAUUCUGACAACUGAAGCAAGACUGAAGUUGAGGAAGUAUUUUGUUUUUAUUGUAGGUGUAGACCAGUGUUGGUCUGUGUGUCUCUAAAUGCUAUAUGGAUAGAGGGCAGGUAGACCCUUCUGGAAAAAGAACACAAAGAUUUUUUUUUUUUAAAUAAAUUUGGUUAAAGGAGA